rnacentral:rRNA from 1 species
UACGGAGGGUGCAAGCGUUAUCCGGAUUCACUGGGUUUAAAGGGUGCGUAGGUGGGCUAGUAAGUCCGUGGUGAAAUCCCCGAGCUUAACUCGGGAACUGCCAUGGAUACUAUUUGUCUUGAAUAUUGUGGAGGUAAGCGGAAUAUGUCAUGUAGCGGUGAAAUGCUUAGAUAUGACAUAGAACACCAAUUGCGAAGGCAGCUUACUACACAGUUAUUGACGCUGAGGCACGAAAGCGUGGGGAUCAAACAGG